rnacentral:rRNA from 1 species
UACGGGGGGGGCAAGCGUUGUUCGGAAUUACUGGGCGUAAAGCGCACGUAGGCGGAUUUUUAAGUCGGGGGUGAAAUCCUGGAGCUCAACUCCAGAACUGCCUUCGAUACUGGCGAUCUAGAGUCCGGGAGAGGUGAGUGGAACUGCGAGUGUAGAGGUGAAAUUCGUAGAUAUUCGCAAGAACACCAGUGGCGAAGGCGGCUCACUGGCCCGGUACUGACGCUGAGGUGCGAAAGCGUGGGGAGCAAACAGG